AUUGAACGCUGGCGGCAUGCCUUACACAUGCAAGUCGAACGGCAGCACGGGAGCAAUCCUGGUGGCGAGUGGCGAACGGGUGAGUAAUAUAUCGGAACGUGCCCAGUCGUGGGGGAUAACGCAGCGAAAGCUACGCUAAUACCGCAUACGAUCUAUGGAUGAAAGCGGGGGAUCGCAAGACCUCGCGCGAUUGGAGCGGCCGAUAUCAGAUUAGUUAGUUGGUGAGGUAAAGGCUCACCAAGCCGACGAUCUGUAGCUGGUCUGAGAGGACGACCAGCCACACGGGGACUGAGACACGGCCCAGACUCAUACGGGAGGCAGCAGUGGGGAAUUGUGGACAAGGGGCGCAAGCCUGAUCCAGCAAUGCCGCGUGCAGGAUGAAGGCCUUCGGGUUGUAAACUGCUUUUGUACGGAACGAAACGGCGAGCUCUAAUACAGUUUGCUAAUGACGGUACCGUAAGAAUAAGCACCGGCUAACUACGUGCCAGCCGCCGCAGUAA
rnacentral:rRNA from 1 species